UUGUUUGGGACAUGCCCGGGCAUGUCAUACUCCCGUGAUCUGGGCAGGCGCAAUGCUCAAGGGCGUGGCAUUGCAAGGGGCAAGGGAGUUUGUGCGGGCAGGCCUGAACAGCUAGCGAUUUAAUUCCAGCAGUCUUUUGAAGAUGGCAACCUCUGAUUCCAAAGCUGUUUUUAAACCAGCAAAAGCUAGCGUCAAACACUCUGAUACAAGGCCCCAGCCGGCAGAAUGCAACAAAAUCUGUUGCAGGGGUUAUGAUAAAGAAAAUUUUUUAUUCAGACCUGUGUUGCAUGACUGUAGCAUGGUGUGCUGUAACUUGAAUGAUGAGGUACAGACACGGACAGCCUGUGAAAUGGUGAAUGAGGCUACAUUAUCUCCCAGCAAUGCCUCUGAAUUAAUAACACCUAGACAGCAAACACUUCAAGACACCCCGAUUUUAUAUUCCUGUGGUAAUCGCCGUGGUCACAAAGAUUCUGCAGAUUUUUCUGAUCUAGACUAUAACAGGGAUUAUGAGCUAUCCCAGAGACCGCGCUAUCUACCCUGUGAGUUAAAGAGCUGCAAUUUGUGUAAAAACUGGUUUGCUUGCGACUGCGAACAUGAUUUGUGGGGCACAGGCGGAUCAACGUAUUGUAAAAUAGCGUGUUAUGGUCCUUUAUCUUCUGAUUCUGAUAGUGAUGAUGAGGGAUAUUUUUCUGAUGGUGGAGUCAUGCCCCCUCUGAACUCUGUAUAACCAAUAAAAGACUGUGUUAACGUCAACACU